rnacentral:rRNA from 1 species
GGAGGGUGCAAGCGUUAAUCGGAAUUACUGGGCGUAAAGCGCAUGUAGGCUGUAUGGCAAGUUGGAGGUGAAAUCCCACGGCUCAACCGUGGAACUGCCUUCAAAACUACCAAACUGGAGUGCGAGAGAGGAUAGCGGAAUUCCAGGUGUAGGAGUGAAAUCCGUAGAUAUCUGGAAGAACAUCAGUGGCGAAGGCGGCUAUCUGGCUCGUNACUGACGCUGAGGCGCGANAGCGUGGGUAGCANACAGGAUUAGAUACCCUGGUAGUCCACGCCGUNNACGAUGGAUACUAGUUGUCGGGUUGUAUGNCUCGGUGACGCNGCUNNCGCNAUNNGUAUCCCGCCNGGGGUGU